UACGUAGGGGGCAAGCGUUGUCCGGAAUCAUUGGGCGUAAAGCGCGUGUAGGCGGUCCGGUAAGUCCGCUGUGAAAGUCGGGGGCUCAACCCUCGGAUGCCGGUGGAUACUGUCGGGCUUGAGUACGGAAGAGGCGAGUGGAAUUCCUGGUGUAGUGGUGAAAUGCGCAGAUAUCAGGAGGAACACCAAUUGCGAAGGCAGCUCGCUGGGACGUUACUGACGCUGAGACGCGAAAGCGUGGGGAGCAAACAGG
rnacentral:rRNA from 1 species